rnacentral:rRNA from 1 species
GUCCACGCUGUAAACGAUGGGCACUAGGUGUCUGGGGUAUUGACCCCUGGGUGCCGCAGCUAACGCAUUAAGUGCCCCGCCUGGGGAGUACGGCCGCAAGGUUAAACUCAAAGGAAUUGACGGGGCCCGCACAAGCGGUGGAGCAUGUGGUUCAAUUCGACGCAACGCGAAGAACCUUACCUGGGCUAGACAACGGCGGACGAUCUUAGAGAUAAGAUUUUCCCUUCGGGGACCGCCGGUUCAGGUGCUGCAUGGCUGUCGU